GAUGGGCACAAACGAUAUUAAAUAGCCCUCCGCUGAGACGGUUCACGAAAGGAAUCACCUUCCAAGUUCCUCUGCUUGUGUAACUACAGAAAAACAAAAAUCAAUGUCCAAAACUAAUUUGUGUUACCUUCUUUUAUUGUUAAUUCUAUUGCCUUCUUCAUAUUUCCUUACGUCAGUCCUUGCCAAAUCUCGAAAUCCGAUCACAGAUUCUGAGAUUAAGAAAAAGAAGAGUGAAUGUUAUGCUGAUAUCGACAGUGGACUGUGGGGUGGGCACUGCAAGUCUUCAUCAAUAGCAAAGGAGAAUUGUGCCUUAAAGUGCCUUUCUCCUGCUUGUUACGAACUUAUAUAUGAAAGUGAUCCGCUCGAAGAAGGAGAGAAAGAUUAUAUAAGGAGCCAAGAAUUCAAGUACUGUAUGUAUAAACUGUCUACACAAGCAAACCACCACUAGUGUCUAGUUCAUAGGCUAGUGUCUUUUAGUUUGGGCUGGAAUUGCUACUCAGCACACUUUCUUUGGAUGAUUCGACCUUUUAGAAGGAGCAUAUUAAGCUAGGAUGUUUGACAAUGAAUCUUGGGGCCUGGAGACAGGAUAGUUAUCAUUAGGAGAAAGCCUUGAGGGUGUUAGGGGUUCCUUUGAUCAUUAAAACCAUGUAAGCUGAGAGCAUUGAGUAUGAGUUGGGAAACUGAUGCUGUAUGGAACAAUUGUAUAUUUACAUUAUUACGGACAAUAAGAUAAAAUGUUUCGAGAAAAAUCAGUGAGAUGUUGGGUUAUUGAUAAA